rnacentral:rRNA from 1 species
UGCGUAGGCGGUUUACUAAGUCAGAUGUGAAAGCCCCGGGCUUAACCUGGGAACUGCAUUUGAUACUGGUAGGCUAGAGUAUGAUAGAGGGGGGUAGAAUUCCUGGUGUAGCGGUGAAAUGCGUAGAUAUCAGGAGGAAUACCAGUGGCGAAGGCGGUCCUCUGGAUCAAUACUGACGCUGAGGUACGAAAGCGUGGGUAGCGAACA